ensembl:lncRNA
CACCCAACAGCUACCCUGUUGGCUAAAUGCCUGACAUCCAGCAUGGGACCUCUACUGCCAGCAUCCACUUACUGGCAUCACAGGGGCUUGACUGAGAUCUGAAACUUGAUCCUUCGUGUCAUCACUGGCCUAGCUCCAGCUCCAAUCGUGCAGCUUUGCUGGGAUUUUCAAGUUUUCUUCAUCAGGAUGAGAUCUAUUCAAAUGUAGGAGAGAGCUUCAGGUCACAUGGUCCAGCCCUGGAUAUCCAAGCUGUCUUGAAUUCGGUUUGGGGUCAAGACUACAGCCCAUGGGAUGGGUGCAAGUCCAGGCUCCACUCACAUCAUGAACCUGGAAGACUAUCAGCUUAAACAAACAGAUUUUAAAAGGGAGCUCGUGCCAACCCCUGGAUGCUCAAGCCAGCAUUGCCGGCUGAUCCCCUGCAAGAGUAAGGCUUCACCCAGCUUGCCAAACCUGAGGCCUCUGUGCGGGCACAAAGGCCCGGAAGGGGGCCCCGGGCAGCUGUCAGCGGGCCAAAGGUCUCCUCCACGCCCGGACACCUGAGGAGCAGCAGUGCUAAGGCAGGCACCCUGCUAUUUGUUAGCAGUGGGCCAUCGGGGAGUUUCCACGCUUGGCUUUGAUGAAACUGAAAAGGUUGAAUCAUUAAAUGCUUGGAGAAUGUGAAGCUGGCACCCGGCCCUGUGUUUUCUGUAAUAUCAAUUAUUCCCGGAGAGCACUGCCGCUUGCUGGGCGGGGAGGUGCUCAGAGAGAGGGCGGGAUGCCCCACUCACCUCUAAGCUGCAGGAGUGACACCGCCAGGG